AAUCAACGCUGGCGGCGUGCCUCAGACAUGCAAGUCGAACGCGAAAGUCCCCUUCGGGGGGCGAGUAGAGUGGCGCACGGGUGAGUAACACGUAGGUAAUCUACCUUUGGAUUGGGAAUAACCACCGGAAACGGUGGCUAAUACCGAAUAAUGCAGCGGCACCUAAUGGUGACAGUUGUUAAAGCGGGGGAUCGCAAGACCUCGCGUCUGAAGAGGAGCCUGCGGCAGAUUAGCUAGUUGGUAAGGUAACGGCUUACCAAGGCGAUGAUCUGUAGCCGGCCUGAGAGGGCGGUCGGCCACACUGACACUGACAUACGGGUCAGACUCCUACGGGAGGCAGCAGUCGGGAAUUUUGGGCAAUGGGCGAAAGCCUGACCCAGCAACGCCGCGUGAAGGAUGAAAUCCCUCGGGAUGUAAACUUCGCAAGAACGGGAAGAAUAAGUAAGAGUUAAUAUCUCU
rnacentral:rRNA from 1 species